rnacentral:lncRNA from 1 species
CCUGAUGUUCAUAUGAUGAAAUCAUAAUCUUUCAGUCAGUUUAAUUGAAGUCUGGAGCUGGCAUGUCAGUUAACUGCUAGUAGUCUGUUGUUAUUUAUGUAUUAUUGUCAUUUUGUUUAUUUUCUUAGGUUACAUCUUCUGACAUCAGACUCGGACUUCUCUUGGACUGAAUUUUAAUGUGCGUAUUGUUAUGCGUUUACUUUUCUACAUUGGCUAGAGGUAUAGGGGGAGGGUUGAGAUCUCACAAACAUGUUUAACCCCGCCGCAUUUUUGCGCCUGUCCCAAGUCAAGAGCCUCUGGCCUUUGUUAGUCUUGUAUUAUUUUAAUUUUAGUUUCUUGUGUACAAUUUGGAAAUUAGUAUGGCGUUCAUCAUCACUGAACUAGUAUAUAUUUGUUUAGGGGCC